rnacentral:rRNA from 1 species
AGAGUUUGAUCCUGGCUCAGAAUCAACGCUGGCGGCGUGCCUCAGACAUGCAAGUCGAACGCGAAGGGUUUCUUCGGAAGCCCAGAGAGUGGCGCACGGGUGAGUAACACGUAGGCAAUCUACCUUUGAGUGGGGAAUAACUUGGGGAAACUCAAGCUAAUACCGCAUAACACCGCAAGGUCAAAGCUUUAUGCGCUCGAAGAGGAGCCUGCGGCAGAUUAGCUAGUUGGUAAGGUAACGGCUUACCAAGGCCAUGAUCUGUAUCCGGUCCAAGAGGACGGUCGGACACACUGACACUGAAUAUACGGGUCAGACUCCUACGGGAGGCAGCAGUCGGGAAUUUUGGGCAAUGGGCGCAAGCCUGACCCAGCAACGCCGCGUGAAGGAAGAAGUCUUUCGGGAUGUAAACUUCGUAAAUAUAGGAAGAAACAAAUGACGGUACUAUAUGUAAGCCCCGGCUAACUCCGUGCCAGCAGCCGCGGUAAUACGGAGGGGGCAAGCGUUGUUCGGAUUUACUGGGCGUAAAGGGCGCGUAGGCGGUUUUGUAAGUUACUUGUGAAAUCUAUGAGCUUAACUCAUAGCGGCCAAGUAAUACUGCGAGACUCGAGUGCAGAAGGGGCAACUGGAAUUCUUGGUGUAGCGGUGAAAUGCGUAGAUAUCAAGAGGAACACCUGAGGCGAAGGCGGGUUGCUGGGCUGACACUGACGCUGAGGCGCGAAAGCUAGGGGAGCAAACAGGAUUAGAUACCCUGGUAGUCCUAGCCUUAAACGAUGGAUGCUUGGUGUCUGGAAUUUUCCUCUCCGGCUGCCGCCGAUAUCACUGUUUACAUGCCCCCUGUGGAGAACACAGGCGCGUGGGUAACUCUCAGGAGUUGUGAGGGACCCCCGCAAGCGCGGGAGAAUGUGGUUAUUUUUUCCAUGCCGCGAAAAAACUUUUAUGGACUAUUGACAUGAGGAAGAUUACCCUGUAAACAUGUGCCCCGCUUGCGGACCCAUUACAAGGGGCUGAUGGUUUGUCUCCAGUUCUGGUCGGGGAAUGUUGGUUUAAUCCCCGCACCAAGCGCACCCUUUAUCUAUGUUUGCUAACCGGUAUGGCUGAGAAUUCUGUUAAAACGGCCGUUGCAACUCCGAAGAAAGUUGGGAAUAACUCCAAUCACUCUGGCCCUUAUGGCUUGGGCUUCCCGCCUGGUUACAUGGCACGUACCAAACUGUGCCAUACUGUGAAGUGGAACUAAACCCAAAAAGCCCGUUUUCAUUCCGAAUGGGAUCUGGCACUUCAACUCAUGAAAUCUGAGAUCGCUAGUAUUCGCAAAUCAGCACGCUGCGGUGAAUACGUU